rnacentral:misc_RNA from 1 species
AGAGGCUCUAAGAAUAAAUGAUUGUAUGUUAUCUUUAUCCUUCUUAAAAGAUGAACUGAAAAGAGUUCUAAUUCAGAUCAACUUAAGGCAUUUCUUUGUUGAAUGCACUUGGAUUAGCAUUUUUUUCCUAUCACCGACAUAGAUAUAACCUUUUAGAAGUGAUAGGGUAAAUUAAACAAAAAGGAGUUUUCUAGGGAAAAUAUGUAAAUACCCAAAGUACA